CCCAUUGUUUAUGUUGUUUUUCCUCAGGGCCCACCUGGACCUCCAGGUUUGAGCGGUGAGCCGGGUGAGAACGGACAUAGGGGUAAAAAAGGUGAAGCAGGAUUGCCAGGAGCUGAUGGUCUUCCAGGACCCCCUGGCCCUCAGGGGCCUCCUGGUCCUCCAGGCAACCCUGGACACACAGGACCUCCAGUAAGUUUACAUUUUUCAACUGUUUUUAUUUGCAAACUGAUCUAGAGCCGCAUCAUAGUAGCAGAUGAUAUUCACACAUCUGUCUGUUCUCACAGGGAUUACCUGGUGAAAGAGGCUUCUCGGGAAAAUCAGGAGAAGCAGGAAAACCAGUGAGACCUCAAGCACAAAUCAUCUGUUGCCCUAUUAACUCAACCCUCAGUUCAGUGUAAAAAAACAAUGAUGCUAAUUCUUUUUCAGGGCCUGCCAGGAAAAGAUGGAUUGGAUGGUUUGCCUGGAAACGACGGCGAGAAGGUUAGAGCUGU
rnacentral:lncRNA from 1 species